GCAAACUUGGUCAUUUAGAGGAAGUAAAAGUCGUAACAAGGUUUCCGUAGGUGAACCUGCGGAAGGAUCAUUCACAAUAAGAGUGUUUAUGGCACUCUUCCAAAAAAAUCCAUACCCACCUUGUGUGCAAUGUAAAAGAGUCUUGGCGGAAAGGAACAAAGCGUUCCAGGAAAACCAGGCUUUUUCAUUCUAUAUACACCUUUCUAUAAGCUUCUAUUGUCUAAAGUGAUUAAGAAUACAUAAUUCUAAAUACAACUUUCAACAACGGAUCUCUUGGCUCUCGCAUCGAUGAAGAACGCAGC
rnacentral:misc_RNA from 1 species